GACGAACCGAGCGAACGUUGUUCGGAAUCACUGGGCUUAAAGGGCGCGUAGGAGGGCAGGUAAGUCAGUGGUGAAAUCUCCGAGCUUAACUUGGAAACUGCCGUUGAUACUAUCUGUCUUGAAUAUUGUGGAGGUGAGCGGAAUAUGUCAUGUAGCGGUGAAAUGCUUAGAUAUGACAUAGAACACCAAUUGCGAAGGCAGCUCGCUACACAUAUAUUGACUCUGAGGCACGAAAGCGUGGGGAUCAAACAGG
rnacentral:rRNA from 1 species